UAGACAUUUAAACCUAAACAAACCUGAGUUAAAGUGACUGAAAGUUGUCGACUUGAUUAUUGAUUAUUCAUCCUUCAAAACUAACAAGUUGUUCCAAAAAUGCCUUUAAACAAACUCUCARGAACUGAUGCUGAAGACAGAAGUCUGAAUCCGUCAAACCUCCCAGACCAGGAAAACGUGAUUCAGACUGAGAACGUGACUAAAGGCACAAAAAAACAAACUACAGUAUGAGCAGGCCGACUCCUGUGAACAAGCAAGAACACCAGAGAACGAGUUCUGUGAAUCUGCAAGAAGAGCUGAAGKGAAGUCGUCAGGACAAAGUGCUCCAGCAAACCAACCUGAAAUCACAGAAGCCAGCGAGCUCCCUGAUGCUCUUCUGCAGCUGCUGAGACCAGUCACAGCAAAGGAGGUUCUCCUGUCUGAUUCUGAUCCAGAUCAAACCGAGACUCAGCAGCCUGACGCUUCCAGAGGACUUGUUGUGACGACUUAUAUAAGUUUAGUUUUGGAAAGCCUUUUUUACUGUCUGUACCGAGAGGAUGAGGAGCAGCAGGACAUCCAUCUCAACGCCAGCCUCUCACAAAAGACGGAGAGUGCUUUAAUGAAGCAACCGCAGGAAACCAAAGCAGAGUGGACAGAAGAAGAAAAGACKAACAUAGGAGACCCCUCAGAGGCAGCAGGUGGGUCAGCUGGUCKAUCAGAGUACGACUGAGACCCGGCGGAGGAACUCUGCUCAGGAUGCCUCCCAGGAAGGAGGCCGGAGGASCAGAGGUGUGAUUGUUUCACCUCAUGGAUGUUCAUAAAGCAGUGUCUGAACUGAAAAUCACUGCUAUAAGUUAGGAUUUGAAAACACCUUUGAGUAUUUUUUUCUAAGUAUUUCUUCAAUAAAUGACAUAAAUCCA